GUGCUUUAAAUACGUGGUGUGUACGCAGCCUUAGACUCUGGACUUGGUAGUCUUGUUGGAAAGGCUCCAGAAUCACUUCCAAAUGUUGUAAGCUAAGUUUACCAGAUUUUUUUCAAUGACUCCGGGGACACUUUUCAACUUCAAUGGAUUUUGCAUGGGGACUGAUUUGUAAAUCCAAGGACUGUCCCAAGGAAACGGGGACGUCUGGUAACCUUAUGGAACACAGACUCCACCCAGUGACAUACUCACUUUGCACAAGGACCUCCUGGCAACUGCCUGAUUUUCUUGGCCCCGGCUGACAUUUGUAGAGUUUACCCGUUUCAUUCUCUCCCCCCUUCUGGAGUGGGGCACCAACCAACAGCCUGCGGGAGCAAAAACACAUGGAGACAAUUCAGGGCUGUCUCUUCUGCCACUCCUCGGGACUGAAUGAUGAGACAGAAAGCUCUCCAAGGACCCAGAGAACCAGCAGUUGCAUACCCUCCAUUUCUUCUGCUUCCGAACUGCGCUACACUCUGCCCAAAGCCCAGUGCUGCUUCCUGGAAGACGGUUGGCUGUUCGGUAUCCAAACUGAAUCCGUGGCAUGGCAUCAGCACUGCAGGGGAUGAUCAAAAACUUCCUCAAGCUUUUUUUUUUAUACAGAAAGAGGGAAUUUA